rnacentral:rRNA from 1 species
GAUGAACGCUGGCGGCGUGCCUAAUACAUGCAAGUCGAGCGAACGGACGAGAAGCUUGCUUCUCUGAUGUUAGCGGCGGACGGGUGAGUAACACGUGGAUAACCUACCUAUAAGACUGGGAUAACUUCGGGAAACCGGAGCUAAUACCGGAUAAUAUUAUGAACCGCAUGGUUCAAAAGUGAAAGACGGUCUUGCUGUCACUUAUAGAUGGAUCCGCGCUGCAUUAGCUAGUUGGUAAGGUAACGGCUUACCAGGCAACGAUGCAUAGCCGACCUGAGAGGGUGAUCGGCCACACUGGAACUGAGACACGGUCCAGACUCCUACGGGAGGCAGCAGUAGGGAAUCUUCCGCAAUGGGCGAAAGCCUGACGGAGCAACGCCGCGUGAGUGAUGAAGGUCUUCGGAUCGUAAAACUCUGUUAUUAGGGAAGAACAUAUGUGUAAGUAACUGUGCACAUCUUGACGGUACCUAAUCAGAAAGCCACGGCUAACUACGUG